GGACACGCUGGCGGCGUGCCUAACACAUGCAAGUCGAGCGGAGUCGAUCGACGGAAGCCUUCGGGCGGAAGAUGGUUGACUUAGCGGCGGAUGGGUGAGUAACGCGUGGGUAACCUGCCUUAUACAGGGGGAUAACACAGGGAAACUUGUGCUAAUACCGCAUAAUAUCAUUGUAUGGCAUCAUGUGAUGAUCAAAGGAGCAAUCCGGUAUAAGAUGGACCCGCGUCCAAUUAGCUAGUUGGUGGUGUAACGGACCACCAAGGCGACGAUUGGUAGCCGAACUGAGAGGUUGAUCGGCCACAUUGGGACUGAGACACGGCCCAGACUCCUACGGGAGGCAGCAGUGGGGAAUAUUGCACAAUGGGGGAAACCCUGAUGCAGCAACGCCGCGUGAAGGAUGAAGGUUUUCGGAUCGUAAACUUCUUUGAUGAGGGACGAAUAAUGACGGUACCUCAAGAACAAGCCACGGCUAACUACGUG
rnacentral:rRNA from 1 species